AACCCGGCCAGCUAGCCCUUCCCACGCCCAGCAGUGCUGCAGAAAGAUGUAAUAUGCGCGCAAGCGAUAUAGCGCGAGAGAUUAAUUUUCUCCUCCCCACCCCUCCGCCGUGCAAUGCCGAGGUGCAAGAGGGAACCCCCUCAGCCUGCGCGGUGGGCGACUGUUUGUUGGUUGUUGAAAGGAGGAUUUCCUCGCCCGCUUCGCAAUAUCGCCUACUACCUCUUAGGGGAGGGGGUAGAUUGGCGAGUGGGGGGAACUAGCGAGCCUCUAAGGCACGUCGAUCCUCGGGAACUCUGCCCGCGAUGAGAUCGAGGGAAGGGGCGACGAUCCUGCGGGCGCCUUUUCCUGGGAAGGAGGCUCUGCUGAACUCUGGAAAUCGAAGGGGGGGUCUUUUACUUUGGAGGAAACACGCGCAGGAAAAGGGCUUGAGAACCACGUGGGCGCGCAGCCUGCGCUCGUGACUGCGCGGCUGACCUGUGCCACUCGCGGGUGGACUGGGCUGGCGUACACCCGAGGAAACGUUCCUGGCGAGAUCUGCACACACAAGAGCCACGAAGGCGGCGGAGUUUCGAGGUUUCCAGCCGCAGGACCGCGCGGGCUUACAGGUGGAUCCAUCUAUCUCCCUCUCCGGCUUCUCGAUCUCUCCCUUUCCUCCUCUCUUUUCGCAAUCCUGGGGAAAGAAUUCCUGGUUUCUUGGAGAGGGGGAGAAACACUGCGCCGGAAAAGCUUCGUUCUUCGAGCCCAGUGUUUCCCAAACUUAUUGGAGCUGAGUUAACUGCUACCCCACUCCGACCGAGAAACAGGAGCACUCUUUGCAUCAGCGGAGGAAAAGAGGUUUUAUUUUAGAAA